rnacentral:rRNA from 1 species
GAUUAAGUUAUUAAGGGCGCACGGUGGAUGCCUUGGCACUAGAAGCCGAUGAAGGACGUUACUAACGACGAUAUGCUUUGGGGAGCUGUAAGUAAGCUUUGAUCCAGAGAUUUCCGAAUGGGGAAACCCAGCAUGAGUUAUGUCAUGUUAUCGAUAUGUGAAUACAUAGCAUAUUAGAAGGCACACCCGGAGAACUGAAACAUCUUAGUACCCGGAGGAAGAGAAAGAAAAUUCGAUUCCCUUAGUAGCGGCGAGCGAAACGGGAAGAGCCCAAACCAACAAGCUUGCUUGUUGGGGUUGUAGGACACUCUAUACGGAGUUACAAAGGACGACAUUAGACGAAUCAUCUGGAAAGAUGAAUCAAAGAAGGUAAUAAUCCUGUAGUCGAAAAUGUUGUCUCUCUUGAGUGGAUCCUGAGUACGACGGAGCACGUGAAAUUCCGUCGGAAUCUGGGAGGACCAUCUCCUAAGGCUAAAUACUCUCUAGUGACCGAUAGUGAACCAGUACCGUGAGGGAAAGGUGAAAAGCACCCCGGAAGGGGAGUGAAAUAGAACCUGAAACCGUGUGCUUACAAGUAGUCAGAGCCCGUUAAUGGGUGAUGGCGUGCCUUUUGUAGAAUGAACCGGCGAGUUACGAUUUGAUGCAAGGUUAAGCAGUAAAUGUGGAGCCGUAGCGAAAGCGAGU